rnacentral:rRNA from 1 species
CACCCUUGUGUAUUAUUACUUUGUUGCUUUGGCGAGCUGCCUUCGGGCCUUGUAUGCUCGCCAGAGAAUACCAAAACUCUUUUUAUUAAUGUCGUCUGAGUACUAUAUAAUAGUUAAAACUUUCAACAACGGAUCUCUUGGUUCUGGCAUCGAUGAAGAACGCAGCGAAAUGCGAUAAGUAAUGUGAAUUGCAGAAUUCAGUGAAUCAUCGAAUCUUUGAACGCACAUUGCGCCCCUUGGUAUUCCGGGGGGCAUGCCUGUUCGAGCGUCAUUUCAACCCUCAAGCUUAGCUUGGUAUUGAGUCUAUGUCAGUAAUGGCAGGCUCUAAAAUCAGUGGCGGCGCCGCUGGGUCCUGAACGUAGUAAUAUCUCUCGUUACAGGUUCUCGGUGUGCUUCUGCCAAAACCCAAAUUUUUCUAUGGUUGACCUCGGAUCAGGUAGGGAUACCCGCUGAACUUAAGCAUAUCAAUAA